CCUUGGAGGUUUUGCUUACAGCAGUAUUGACAUUGUUGUCCUCAUAUGAAUUUGUGUUUUAGUCUUCCCUUUCACCAAAAUAACUUUCUAUGUUGAGUUUCCUUUUUUGUUGUUUUCUCAUUUUGCAGCUUUUCUCUUUUCUUUUAAUUUAAAAAAUAUAUUAAGAUUGGACCCUGUAAUUGUGCAAAUGUGCAGCUGCCUUCAGAACUGGCUGUGGGGCGCUGCGGGGUUGUUGGCCAGGGAGAAAAGACUGCGAAGUGGCUUCGGCGGUGUCCGGAAAGAGCUUCAAUGGAAACGACAACAUUGUCAUCUUCAAGUUAACUGGUGAUAUAAAAUCAAUAAAGCUAGUUCACAGAGUCAUUAAUACAAGUAGGGACUCCCUUUGCAACACAAAGAAUCAACCACUAGUGAGGAAAACAACCUCUACCUUUACUGUCUGUGAAAAUGAUGUUUUGUUCUUAUAACAGACAUCAGUGGGAUCUAUAAUAGAAAUGAAGGCUGACCGCGGUGAAAUUGGUCACCCGAUAAACAUGCUUCCCACAAUCAAGAAGGCAAAUGUUCUAAUGCUGGACCUUCUCUUCCUGUCCCUGAAUGUGCCAUCUGUCUGCAAACAUGUGUUCACCCAGGCAGGCUUCCUUGUAAGCAUGUAUUCUGCUAUUUAUGUGUAAAGGGAGCUUCAUGGCUUGGAAAACGUUGUGCACUCUGUCGGCAAGAGAGUCCUGAGGACUUUCUUGACAAGCCAACCUUGUUAUCACCAGAAGAACUGAAAGCAGCAAGUAGAGACAGCGGAGAAUAUGCCUGGUAUUAUGAAGGAAGGAACGCGUGGUUGGCAGUAUGAUGAACGCACCGCAGAGAGCUGGAAGGGGCUUUCUCCAAAGGUAAUGAAUGAAGAACAAAUGGAACAGAGGAGGUUCAAGGAACACCAAGCAAAACCUCAGGAACUCCAGGGAAUUGGACACAGGCUUUGGAAGAACUCAGAACAUAAUUCAAAAAAGAAUUAAGAUAAACUGAAGAAAACUGGAAAAAUAACUUAAAAAUCAGAACAGAUAUGAACUAAAAAAAGAAAAUAGUACCUUCAAAGCUAGAAUUGACCAGCUUGAAAACAAAGCAAAGAAAGUUAAAGAUGAUCUAAGAAGAAAAGCAGUCCAAAAGGAAAAGGAUAAUCAAAAACUCAAGGAUGAAAUUCAGUCUUUAGAAAGUAGAAUUGAACAACUAGAAGCAAAUGAUUUCAUAAGGCAUCAAGAGUCUAUAAAACAAAAUCAAAAGGAUAAAAAUUGAGGAAAAUAUGAAACUGCUCUUUGAUAAAACAACAGACCUAGAAAAUAGGUUCAGGAGAGACAAUUUAAGAAUUAUUGGACUUCCUGAAAAAUCAUGACAAAAGAAAAAGCAUGGAAAUCAUUCUACAGGAAAUUAUCCAAGAAAACUGCUAUAAACUUCUUGAACAAGAGGGUAAAGUAGAGAUUAUAAGAUUCCGCAGAUCACCUCCUAUAUUAAAUCCCCAAUUGACAAUGCCCAGGAAUAUUCAAGUUCAAGAACUUCCAGACCACAGAAAAGAUAUUACAAACUGCUUAUAAGAAACCAUUCAGAUAUCAUGGAACCACAGUUAGGAUGAUACAGGACUGGGCUGCAUCCACACUCAAGGACUAGAAGGCAUGGAACAUGAUAUUCCAAAAAGCAAGGGAAAUGAGUCUACAACCAAGAAUCAACUACCCAGCAAAACUGACUAUAUUCUUGCAGGGGAAAGAAUGGUUAUUUAAUAAAAUAGAAGACUUCCAAACA
ensembl:lncRNA